GAAAUGCGAUAUGUAAUGCGAAUUGCAGAAUUCAGUGAAUCAUCAAAUCUUUGAACGCAAAUGGCGCUCUCGGGAUAGACCUGGGAGCACACCUCUCUGAGUAUCGGUUCAACCAUCACUC
rnacentral:misc_RNA from 1 species